rnacentral:rRNA from 1 species
CAAUAGCGUAUAUUAAAGUUGUUGCAGUUAAAAAGCUCGUAGUUGGAUUUCUGGGAGGGUGCCGCCGUCCGGCGUGUCCGUGUGCAGUGGCGCCCUUCCAUCCUUCUGUUAGCGUCUCUUGGCAUUCAUUUGCUGGUGGCGGGCUCAGAUAUUUUACCUUGAGAAAAUUAGAGUGUUUCAGGCAGGCUAGGCCGGAAUACAUUAGCAUGGAAUAAUGGAAUAGGACUACGGUCUCUUUGUUGGUUUGAGGGACUGCAGUAAUGAUUAAUAGGGAUAGUUGGGGGCACUAGUAUUUAAUUGUCAGAGGUGGAAUUCUCAGAUUUGUUAAAGACUAACUUAUGCGAAAGCAUUUGCCAAGGAUGUUUUCAUUAA